AUUCCCCCUUUAUUGUAUGGCAAAAACGAAUAGGUGAAAGAAUCUGAUGGCUUUUCGCUAAUCGAACAUUGUAACGAUAACCGGUAUAGGAUGCGCUUCGAUUUAGGACUUUAACGACAAAUGCAGACAAUUACGUGACCCACCAAGCUAUCACGGGAACAUCGAACGGGAACAGCCUGAAUGAUCUUAUCCAUUACGGUGUAUGAAAAAAAUGGUACUGGAAGGAUGCUAAACGCACCGAUGGGCAAACGGCCGCUUCGUAAGGGUUCAAAAAAAAACAAGACGUCUAAACACGCAGUGGCAAUCGCUUUGUCGAAGACGUUUCAGAACGAACUUCAGGUCUUUCAUGGAUAAAAAUUCCGCACCUUUUCACUGGCAAGUUACUAAUCAUCUGACAGUUAGUCAACGGGCACUUUAAAGUCGUCUGCGCUCCAUGUGAAAAAUACGGCAGGGAUAGGCGUAGAGAGUAGGUUCGUGAG